rnacentral:lncRNA from 1 species
CUCCAUGUGCAAUAUACCAAAUAUCGAGCGGAAGAGGGUUCCAAGCAGGGUAGAGAGAGAAGCUCUUUCUUCUCUCUAGGAAACCCCCCCUCUGUCCUUUCUGCCUUCUCUUCCCCGUCAUUCUCCUGCACCCACCACUACCCACCACCCUUGCGGCCCACCUACUCUUGUUGAAAGUUUAGAUCUGAUCUGGAUGGGGUUUUGGAUGUGCUGCAGAAUGUUUCGGUUUGACCCCUCCAUUUUCCAUUUCUGCCUCUUUUUUCUUAUCCGGCCCUCCCAACUCCCCCUCCCUCCCUUCCUUCGGCCCACCAUCCCUCCCACUUCUUCCGGUCACCACUCUAACCUUGCCUAGGUGCUGUUAUAGCAUUUCCGGCGGCUAUAGCGUGGACCUUUUCGAACUUCCUUUUUUUUAUCUGAGCUUUGCCAAGUCCGAGGGUUUUCUAGAUUGUGGGUCUUUCCUGUGUGAUUAGUAGAGGGCUUCGUUCUUGUGGUGCAAAAAGUGGAGUCAUGAUCUGAAGUGGUGGGUUAUGGGUUCGGGGUUCUGGAUCUUGAUGAGAAAUUUGAGUCUUUGGCUCCGGCGAUUAUGGUUCUAUGGUUCUGGGCUCGGCAAAAGGAGGCUCUUGUAUCAGCCGGCCCCUCUUCCCUAUUCUGGAUUUGGGUUGUAUUGCUAAUCUCUAAAUGUUUCAAUUUUAGGUUGGUUUAUGAGGUUGUGAUGGGUUGUUUUUUCUUUCCAUUAAUUGAUUUGUUAUGCAUUAAUGUUCAUUUUUCGGUCAAUUAUUGGUGUUGCUUAUGAUAGCUAUGGCUUGUCUUUGCUUGGCUGACUCAUGGCGUUUCUCCUCGUUGAUUCUUUUUGCUUGUUUUGUCUUUUUUUCUGGAAUCAUUUGGGAGUUCUGAUUUGUUUUAGUCAUUGAUGAAUUCCGUUCUGGGCUCCUUGUCAAUUCGGUAUAUCUCUUGGCUGGUGUUUGUGUUUGAUUUGAAAUCCCAUGUGCUUAUGGUUUUCCGGUGGGCUACUGUUUUGCCGGAGGAAUUUGGGAGACAAAUCAGAGGAAAAUUGCUGAUAUUCACGUGACUGUGUUGUUGCCAGCUGGUUAAUGGGUCCCAUUUCACUUGGGUUGUUUAAAUUUCAAAUUUAACCAGCUGAUUUCAUUUGGGCACAUCAGCUUUUUGCCUACCUUCACGUGGGAUGGAAUUGAUGAUGUCUGCUAUGUCCUUGACAUGUUAACAAAUGGAUCCAUUGAAGACUAACCGUGAGGGUCUUGGGCCCACGGUUUGGGCUGUUAUAUACCUAUGAUCUGUUUGGCUUUUAAACUAAUUUUUUUUAGUUGUUUCUUUUGCCUAACCUCGGGUUGUGAGGAAAAUGUAAUUUAGGUUAGGUAUUUUGUUUCCUAGGUUGCUAGGUAUUUUUAGUCCCCUUGGGAGAAGGGGACUAUGCUCUGUUCUUCAUUGUAAUAUCCAAAAGUUUUUUGCAAUGUUAAUAUACAAAUAAAAAU